AGAGUUUGAUCCUGGCUCAGGACGAACGCUGGCGGCGUGCUUAACACAUGCAAGUCGAACGGAAUCCAUGGUGUAGCAAUACAUCGGAAGAUUUAGUGGCGAACGGGUGAGGAUCACGUGAGAAACGUGCCCCAGACUCUGGGAUAACAAUUGGAAACGAUUGCUAAUACCGGAUGACGUCGGAGAAUCGCAUGAUUCACUGACGAAAGAUAUUUCGGUUUGGGAGCGUCUCGCGGCCUAUCAGCUUGUUGGUGGGGUAAUGGCCUACCAAGGCAACGACGGGUAGCUGGUCUGAGAGGAUGAUCAGCCACACUGGGACUGAGACACGGCCCAGACUCCUACGGGAGGCAGCAGUGGGGAAUCUUGCGCAAUGGGCGAAAGCCUGACGCAGCAACGCCGCGUGCGGGAUGAAGGCCUUCGGGCUGUAAACCGCUUUCAGCAGGAACGAAAAUGACGGUACCUGCAGAAGAAGGAGCGGCCAACUACGUGCCAGCAGCCGCGGUGACACGUAGGCUCCAAGCGUUGUCCGGAUUUAUUGGGCGUAAAGAGCUCGUAGGCGGUUGAGUAAGUCGGGUGUGAAAACUCUGGGCUUAACCCGGAGACGCCAUCCGAUACUGCUCUGACUAGAGUUCAGGAGGGGAGUGGGGAAUUCCUAGUGUAGCGGUGAAAUGCGCAGAUAUUAGGAGGAACACCGGUGGCGANNNCGCCACUCUGGACUGAAACUGACGCUGNNNNGCGAAAGCAUGGGUAGCAAACAGGAUUAGAUACCCUGGUAGUCCAUGCCGUAAACGGUGGGCACUAG
rnacentral:rRNA from 1 species